UACGGAGGGGGCAAGCGUUAUUCGGAAUUAUUGGGCGUAAAGGGCGCGUAGGCGGCUAGAUGUGUCAAAGGUGAAAUCCCUCGGCUCAACUGAGGAACUGCCUUUGAAACUGUCUGGCUUGAGGCCGGGAGAGGGUAGCGGAAUUCCCAGUGUAGCGGUGAAAUGCGUAGAUAUUGGGAGGAACACCAGUGGCGAAGGCGGCUACCUGGACCGGUUCUGACGCUGAGGCGCGAAAGCGUGGGUAGCAAAAGGG
rnacentral:rRNA from 1 species